AAAAAAAAAGAAGCAAGUUUUGUGCAGAAUUGAGUCACUUUGAUUAGAUUGACAACCUUGUUCCAUUUGGUACAGAAGGAAGUACAAUCUUGACAAUGUAUUACAACAACAAAUUCCAUCGAUCCAUGUUUGUAGUAGAUUCUCUUUGGCACGCAAGUCUCAUUCUCAUUCUCAUCUUCAACAUAUAAGUGCUUGUCCACUUCGCCCACUUUAUAUUUGCAAAUUGGUGUCGAUCACCACAUACAAGUAUCAUAAUUUUAUGAUUUGAAAGUUGUGGCUUAUAAUAAACAUGUUUUCAAAUUUUGGUUGGGUCUAGUUCAACAUAUAAAACCGAUUUGUAAAACGAGAAUGAUAUUCACUUAAAAAUUUAUAUUUAUUUAUUCAUCUAAUGUAAGACUUUUAAUCACAGAUGAUAGUGUAAUUCAUUUGCAACCCUUUCAUAGAAGGUCGAUAAAGCAUCUAAAUAUAUAUGUUGUUGGUUGAACAAAC
rnacentral:lncRNA from 1 species